GUCACUUACUUGGAAUCAAUGCUACUGGUCUUACUUUCAGCGAAGACCCAAUGACAAUGAGGAGAUCAACUUCGUUUUUGUCGUACUUCAUGGCCCGGUGGAACUGCUCGGAGCAGAAUCCUCAUUUGCUGACAGAAGUGGAUGAGAGUUAUGUUUGCGAAGAAUAGACUCCCUUUCCUCCUGAAAGCAGAGGGUUUUCUGAUCUUUGGGACCUCUUUCAACUCUUUCUUAUCUUAAGACUUUUUCAGAGAGAAGAGAAGCAAGAAGCAAGUCCAGUGACUUGAGACUUAGUGGAUCUCUGUCCCUAUUGAAAUUAUCCAAGUCACUGUAAUGACCCCUAAAUGCAUUUCAACGCUACACUACUCACCAGCUUUUCUCUGCUAAUCCUCAAGAGGUCAUCAGUAAAGGGGGAGAUUUAUUCCAAGAGCUGAAAUUGAUACCAAGAAGUUAAAGCUACAAAACUGGCCACUCAGUUGCCUCUAAUAGGGUCCUCUUUCCAUGGAGAAGCAGCUCCCCCAAACCCCCACCAUCUCUGCUGAUGCAUUUCUCUAACUGAAGAGAAAUGGAGUUUCUCACUAUUGAUGUUACCCAUAUAUUAAAAAUGAGAUUAGUAAAGAUUACACUGGCUUAAGAAUAGCCAAAAACUGGUGCAUGUUUUCCAAUUCUUGGGCCCUUUCCUCCUAAAUCUGAGACCCUUUUACCAGUUCUUGAAGCUGCCAAAAAUAGCCAAAAGUAAAAGUGAUAUUUUUGGAAGUGACUGACAGUUGUUUUCCUUGGAU